UAAACAAAAUAACGCGUCAGACAUAAUAUUCUAAUAAAAUUAGUAACAUUGCGUGCUAGAAUAUAGGUUUAGAAAUUCGAAAAAUACCCAAAACCGAAUCGGAGCACCCCACUGUCCACGUGGUCUUGGUCUGUCCUACCCCUAGAGUGUUUUUUUUGUGCCGCGGAGGCGCGGAGGGAGGGCACCUUCGCUGCGGAACGGAGCAUGAGUGAGCGUGCUUUCGCACGCAAGGGCG
rnacentral:misc_RNA from 1 species